rnacentral:lncRNA from 1 species
UAUCAGUAGUUCAAGGCCAGCAUGAAAACAUUAACUGCAGUAACUUGUAUGUGUUUAUGGACAUCCACCAUGAAGAUACAGCAGCAAUUGCAGCCUUCCUGAGGACCAGGAUAUUUCCUACAAGAGUUGGCUAAACGAACUCAGUGGAUACGAACAGGGAUGAAAACAGGGCGAUUCAAAAUUCGAGAUGGUUGAUUACAGACCGACCAAGAAUGGAGAAAAUCUCAGCACCAUUUUAGGAAGUAAAUUUAAUAGAGGAGAAGAUGUCCUAGGUAAUCAAUUGCCUGCCUUGAGAGCAUCAAGAUCUGAGUGUGAUCCCAAGAACCAACAUUUCAAAAGCCUGGCAUAGCAGACUACAUGCAUUGUAUAAAACUAUUGCUGGAAUUUUGGACAAAUGUCCCAAGUCUAACAACCCCAACAAGCUGGGCUUGGCCAUUUGUCCUAACGUACCAGCUGACAAGAUGAGAGAUGGUGAAGAGCUGAGAGAAAAUGCUUACCACAUUGGGAGAUGGAACAACUACAGGAGCCCAGUCACCACCAGGAUACUGACAUGAACGUUAAUUUUAAAUAAAAAUAGAACU